GAUGAACGCUAGCUACAGGCUUAACACAUGCAAGUCGAGGGGUAACAAGAGAAAAGCUUGCUUUUCUUGUUGACGACCGGCGCACGGGUGAGUAACGCGUAUCCAACCUGCCUAUAACUAGGGAAUAACCUUGCGAAAGUAAGACUAAUACCCUAUGAUUUCCUUUGAUGACAUCAGAUUAGGAAUAAAGAUUUAUCGGUUAUAGAUGGGGACGCGUCUGAUUAGCUUGUUGGCGGGGUAACGGCCCACCAAGGCAACGAUCAGUAGGGGUUCUGAGAGGAAGGUCCCCCACAGUGGAACGGAGACACGGUCCAAACUCCUACGGGAGGCAGCAGUGAGGAAUAUUGGUCAAUGGGCGGAAGCCUGAACCAGCCAAGUAGCGUGCAGGAUGACGGCCCUAUGGGUUGUAAACUGCUUUUAUACAGGAAUAAAGUAGCCACGUGUGGUUAUUUGUAGGUACUGUAUGAAUAAGGACCGGCUAAUUCCGUGCCAGCAGCCGCAGUAA
rnacentral:rRNA from 1 species